rnacentral:rRNA from 1 species
GACAGAGGGUGCAAGCGUUAAUCGGAAUUAUUGGGCGUAAUGCGUACGUAGGCGGAUUAGUAAGUUGGAUGUGAAAUCCCUGGGCUUAACCUGGGAAUUGCAUUCAAUACUGCUAGUCUAGAGUACAGUAGAGGGAAGUGGAAUUUCCAGUGUAGCGGUGAAAUGCGUAGAUAUUGGAAAGAACAUCAGUGGCGAAGGCGACUUCCUGGACUGAUACUGACGCUCAGGUACGAAAGCGUGGGGAGCAAACAGG